AAGACACAGCAACUGUUACAUGGUUUAUUUUGAGGACAUUUAGAGUCUCAAUGUCCAAGACUCAUAAGACCUGCCAUCAGGCCUUUACUUCUCUUGGCCUUGGAUACUUACCAGUUCUUCAGCCUCUCAACCUUAUGCCUGGGCUCAGGGUCUAAUGCCAUCUUUCCCCCACAAGGAAAUGUCAUGCCUUGGAAACACCCUUCUUUCUCAUGGUUGACUGCAACCAUCAUUGGCAGAAUGAUGUUCCCCUGAUCUACUUCAACAUUUAAAGCUUAACCCAGCUGACACGCCCAAGCUUCAAGAGUACGGGAUACAUCUGUUCUCACUUCAACGGCAAUAUUAGCUACUGUGUGCCUCACUUUAUAUGAGAGUUUCCAUAUUUGAAGGAAAUUUAGAAUCUGAGAUAGGAGUCUUAAACAAUUAUUAUCCAUGCCCUUCUCUUUAUUGAUGCUUUCCUAUGAAUCAUAAGGAAAUGAACCUCUUCAGUAAACUCUGUCAAGGCUUCAAUUCCCUUCCCGAGGUUUCUGAAAACUCUCACUAUCUUCUUAGGAGUAUUAAAAGAUUUGGUGAAGAGUUCCUUCAGGUUGUCUUGCACCAUCCACUGAGGGUCGCUAAAGCACAAACGACCUUUGAUUUUCCACACUCAUCUCCCUACACUAAUUAUGUACUAGCUCCAAACCAUUUUCCAAAACAAUUAUGGUCAUGGUGGGCAAAACAACUGCCUUCAUCUGUAGACCUACAAUCUUGGAUACCUAGGUACUCUGCCUCCUCAUUGGAGGUUGGACAGAGAACACACACUUAGUAUUUUAACCUGGUGGUGAGUGCACUGGGGUCUUUCCUCCCACAGCCAUGGAAGAGGUAGAGAGUUGAAGACCCAGAAUUUCAAACGAAGUUUAUCUCUAUUAAUCAUCCUGAUGUUUUCUCCAGGGCCACUUCCCACUCCUGAUAUCUACUCAACUCUGACUUCCAACACUCUGAACCAUUCUCACCUCCUGAGAUGUCUUCUCUUGGAUGUGCUUUCAACUAUGACUUUUCUUCCAUAAUGCUUCUCUGUCCCUCUAAAGCCCUGCUUUCUACCCUUAGGAAGUCCUCAUAAAUUUCUAAUCUACACUUAAUACUCUAUUUUUCAAAAGUGUUUUGAAUUCAUUCUUUUAUGAAUACUUUCUAUUAUUUCAGAGAAUUUGCCUCAAAAGGCAAUGUAAAUACAUGACUUCUGUUUCAUUUUCCUGAUCAAAUCUCAUGCAGAAUAAUUUUUAAUGGUUACCUGAAAUGACUAAAGAACAGCAAGUUUCUUUUCAAUAUUUACAAACACUCCAAGAAAUUUAUAAGCAUAUAUACAUUUUUGGGGGGGUUUCUCCAU
rnacentral:lncRNA from 1 species